rnacentral:rRNA from 1 species
AAGAGCUCAGAUUUGAAAUCGUGUUUCGGCACGAGUUGUAGAGUGUAGGCGGGAGUCUCUGUGGAGCGCGGUGUCCAAGUCCCUUGGAACAGGGUGCCUGAGAGGGUGAGAGCCCCGUAGGGUGCUGCGCGAAGCUUUUGAGGCCCUGCUGACGAGUCGAGUUAUUUGGGAAUGCAGCUCCAAGCGGGUGGUAAAUUCCAUCUAAGGCUAAAUAUUGGCGAGAGACCGAUAGCGAACAAGUACUGUGAAGGAAAGAUGAAAAGCACUUUGAAAAGAGAGUGAAACAGCACGUGAAAUUGUUGAAAGGGAAGGGUAUUGGGCUCGACAUGGGGGGUGCGCACCGCUGUCUCUUGUAGGCGGCGCUCUGGGCGCCCUCUGGGCCAGCAUCGGUUCCUGCUGCGGGAGAAGGGGCUCCGGAAAGUGGCUCUUCGGAGUGUUAUAGCCGGGGCCAGAUGCCGCGUGUGGGGACCGAGGACUGCGGCUUCUGUCUCGGAUGCUGGCAUAACGGCGCAAUACCGCCCGUCUUGAAACACGGACC